GUCCCUUCGGGGACAUCCGAUGAAAUUGGAACGAUAUGGAGAAAAUUAGCAUGGUCCCCGCAAGGAUGACACGCACAAAUCGACAAACUUCAGUUGACCAA